CCUACGGGAGGCUGCAGUGGGGAAUAUUGCGCAAUGGGCGAAAGCCUGACGCAGCGACGCCGCGUGAGGGAUGAAGGUCUUCGGAUCGUAAACCUCUGUCAGCAGGGAAGAACGGUCACUGUGCUAAUCAGCAGUGAAUUGACGGUACCUGCAAAGGAAGCACCGGCUAACUCCGUGCCAGCAGCCGCGGUAAUACGGAGGGUGCGAGCGUUAAUCGGAAUUACUGGGCGUAAAGCGCUCGUAGGCGGUAUGUCAAGUCAAGGGUGAAAUCCCCGCGCUCAACGUGGGAACUGCCUUUGAAACUGGCAAACUGGGGUGUGUGAGAGGAUAGUGGAAUUCCAGGUGUAGGAGUGAACUCCGUAGAUAUCUGGAGGAACAUCAGUGGCGAAGGCGACUAUCUGGCACAUAACUGACGCUGAGGAGCGAAAGCGUGGGUAGCAAACCGGAUUAGCUACCCUUGUGUC
rnacentral:rRNA from 1 species